GUGUGGUCCAUGAGGCCCAGAGAUGUGUUGGUGUGGUCCAUGAGGCCCAGAGAUGUUUUGGUGUGGUCCAGGAGGCCCAGAGAUGUUUUGGUGUGGUCCAGGAGGCCCAGAGAUGUGUUGUGUGGUCCAGGAGGCCCAGAGAUGUGUUGUGUGGUCCAGGAGGCCCAGAGAUGUGUUGGUGGGGUCCAUGAGGCCCAGAGAUGUGUUGUGUGGUCCAGGAGGCCCAGAGAUGUGUUGGUGUGGUCCAGGAGGCCCAGAGAUGUGUUGGUGGGGUCCAGGAGGCCCAGAGAUGCGUUGGUGUGGUCCAGGAGGCCCAGAGAUGCGUUGGUGGGGUCCAGGAGGCCCAGGGAUGUGUUGGUGUUCAUGCACGCCUGUCUUAUUGUUACUGUCUGCUGUCACGCACCAACCGCCAAGACAAAUUCCUUGUAUGUUUGACAUAUUUUGGCAAUAAAUGUUUCCUGAUUCCUGAUGACGGACCCUGUAGGACGUGGAUGAGCCCUUCACUAGACUCUCAAGACACUUCUCCAACGCCUUCUGCACGUCUCUGUGAGGCGAUGAUGAGACGGGCCCCCUCAGGUUCUGGUGCUCUCUCGAAGAAAGAACACUUGUAUUAUUGUGUCAAAGAAUUACAACACUUGUUUAGAAGCUAAUCCUCUUUUUCUCUGGGACCAG
ensembl:lncRNA